AAGCAAUUAAGUUCAUCUUCUAAAAUUGCUCACUGAGAUGUUGGAAGGGAAAGCUGUGGUGCGCAAGACUGAUAUGCCUGAGGCAAUGCAGAACCAUGUCAUGGAGUUGGCUUACCAGGCUCUCGAUCUACAUGAGGUCUCUGAUUGUCAAUCUAUUGCUCAUUACAUCAAACAGACUUCGGGUCCUGCAUAACACAUAUACAUGGAUGUUUUAGUUUCUUUCAUGUGGAGAUGUUAGAGUUUCUGAUCUUCAAUGAUGGCAAGGACUUCACUGAAAGCAGGGAAGAGGCUGUUGGAGUUCUGCAGAAAGCUGAAAGAAGGGAAGAUGCUAUUUGUACUGCAGAAACUGGAAAAAGUGAUCCACAAAAUCCAUUUUUGAAGAUUAAAACUCAAUCUACUACCAAGAAAGUUGGAAAUCAAAAUAUGCUAGGCACUUUCAAUCUUUAGAAGGAAAGAAGAUGUUUUAUUAGGAUACUCAAUAAAUUUUAAACCAAAAAUGAUGUCUCAAAUAUUUGGGUUCAGCUUCAUGAAUCAUGUGAUUCACUUAUUCUAUUCUAUUGUGUGGUUGCUAUUUAUCUACAGAUUCUACACAUAUAGGCUUGACGGAUUACCUCAUAAAAGAAAUAUUAGAAUUCAAAAUUUUAACAACCUGUCAACAUAG